rnacentral:tRNA from 1 species
GGGGUUGUGGCUCAGUGGUAUAGCAUCGUCUAGCACAUGCGAGGCGCUGGGUUCAAUCCUCAGCACCACA